GACGAACGCUGGCGGCGUGCUUAACACAUGCAAGUCGAACGGAAAGGCCCUGCUUUUGUGGGGUGCUCGAGUGGCGAACGGGUGAGUAACACGUGAGUAACCUGCCCUUGACUUUGGGAUAACUUCAGGAAACUGGGGCUAAUACCGGAUAGGAGCUCCUGCUGCAUGGUGGGGGUUGGAAAGUUUCGGCGGUUGGGGAUGGACUCGCGGCUUAUCAGCUUGUUGGUGGGGUAGUGGCUUACCAAGGCUUUGACGGGUAGCCGGCCUGAGAGGUUGACCGGCCACAUUGGGACUGAGAUACGGCCCAGACUCCUACGGGAGGCAGCAGUGGGGAAUAUUGCACAAUGGGCGGAAGCCUGAUGCAGCAACGCCGCGUGCGGGAUGACGGCCUUCGGGGUGUAAACCGCUUUCGCCUGUGACGAAGCGUGAGUGACGGUAAUGGGUAAAGAAGCACCGGCUAACUACGUG
rnacentral:rRNA from 1 species